AUUGAACGCUGGCGGCAUGCUUUACACAUGCAAGUCGAACGGUAACAGGCCGCAAGGUGCUGACGAGUGGCGAACGGGUGAGUAAUGCAUCGGAACGUGCCCAGUCGUGGGGGAUAACUACUCGAAAGAGUAGCUAAUACCGCAUACUAUCUAUGGAUGAAAGCGGGGGACCGUAAGGCCUCGCGCGAUUGGAGCGGCCGAUGUCAGAUUAGGUAGUUGGUGGGGUAAAGGCUCACCAAGCCAACGAUCUGUAGCUGGUCUGAGAGGACGACCAGCCACACUGGGACUGAGACACGGCCCAGACUCCUACGGGAGGCAGCAGUGGGGAAUUUUGGACAAUGGGCGCAAGCCUGAUCCAGCAAUGCCGCGUGCAGGAAGAAGGCCUUCGGGUUGUAAACUGCUUUUGUACGGAACGAAACGGCUCUGGUUAAUACCCGGGGCUAAUGACGGUACCGUAAGAAUAAGCACCGGCUAACUACGUG
rnacentral:rRNA from 1 species